GAGGUGGCCGAGUGGUCGAAGGCGCUCCCCUGCUAAGGGAGUAGAGGUCAAAAGCUUCUCGUGGGUUCGAAUCCCAUCCUCUCCGCCA
rnacentral:tRNA from 1 species